AUGGCAUGGGUGGUUCAGUGGUAG
rnacentral:piRNA from 1 species